AUUAUUCUCCGUAAAUAGAAAUACAACCAAUUUAAUAUAAUAAAUCUCGAAUCAAAUCUCUAUUAACGAUAAACUAUUCCCGCAUGAGUAAAAUUACCAAAAUGCCCCUACAUGCCAAAAUUACCAAAAUACCCCCAACAUCAAUAUUUUACCAACUUAUCCUCAAACUUCAUUAUUUUACCAAAUUAUCCUCAUAUUCGUCAAUUACCAUAUUGUCCUCAAUUCAGAUUACAUAAAUUAAUCACAUUGUCCAAAAUUACGAAAUUACCCUCGGGGCAUAAAAUUAUCGAAAUGUCCUUAACGUCUUAAAUUACCGAAUUACCCUCGAAAGCAUAAAUUACUUCAUUGCCCUCACUCAAAAUUACCAAAAUGUCCACUAAUUACAUAAAAUUAUAAAUUCACCCCAAAGUUUCAUGAAUUUACCGAAUUGCCCCUGCCGGUCAACGGUGACCAGACUUCAGUCAACGAUGACGGGGAGCUUAGGUCAGCUAGUUCCGACCUCGGUGAGUGCAAUGGUGGUGCCCGUGAGUCGCCACGCACGCUGCCGGCGGCGGAUCGAAGCUCCAAAAAAAUCUGAAACUUUCCAGUAGUCGUUCGACGAUUUUCCGGCGUCCCUGGUGGUCGUGGUUGGUCAGAAAUUGUUGCUGGAGAUGUGAGGAACCAGUUCCAAGUGGUGGCGCGUCACAAACCCGGCGGAAUCAACGGCGACGGAAAAGGAUCUUGGCCGCGACUUUCGAGCUCAAAUCGUCGGCGUUCUGGUCGAUUUUCGGCGACGAGGACCACGGGGAUACGAAGGUCGGCUUCCAAGCUUCAGAUCGGUACCAAGCACGACCGGUAAGGUGGCCGGAAUUAGGAGAUCCGUUUGGGUCAAUAUCGCGGGUCCGGGUCGGGUUUUCGGGUCAACGGGUCAAAAUUCCUCUCUCUCUCUCUCUCUCUCUCUUUCACGGGUUCUCUCACUUUGUUUUUGAAUUCAAAAACAGUUCCCCUUCACCAAUUAUACAAUCCGACCCCUUUUUUUUUUUUAAGCUUAAUACAAAUUAAGCUCAAUUCGGACCCGUGCUGAAAAUAAAAUCCGACCAUCGGCGCGUGUAAUCACGCUCAAUUUAUUUCAAUAAAUUAAAUUGUCGUGACGAAUUUAAAAAUCAUAAGCGAAGAGGAAAAAUUAAAUCGCACUCUUAAUUAAGAAAUCCGAAGUGCAUAUGUUACAAUCCUCCCCCCUUAUAAAAAUUUCGUCCUCGAAAUUUACACAUCUGUUGAGAACAAGUGAGGGUAUUUUGCUCGCAUUAAGUCUUCACGUUCCCAAGUCGCUUCUUAUCUUUUGUGAUUCCUCCACAGCACUUUUAUUAACAGAAUGGUUCUUGACCGCAAAACUUGAUGCUUCUGUUCUAGAAUUUCCACGGGCACUUCUUCAUAACUCAAGUCUUCUUUCAACUCAAUUGGUUGUCUCGACAACACAUGACUAGGAUCAUACACAUACUUCCGAAGCAUCGAAACAUGAAAGACAUCGUGGAUUCUGGAUAACUCAGGUGGUAGAGCUAAUCGGUAUGCCAACGGACCAAUACGCUCCACAAUCUCAUAUGGUCCAAUGUAACGUGGACUCAACUUCCCGCGCUUACCAAAUCGAAGUACCCAUUUCCAAGGAGAUAUCCGUAUGAAAACCUUAUCACCUACUUCAAACUCAAGUUCCCGCCUACGCUUAUCUGCAUAGCUCUUUUGUCUGCUCUGGGCUGCCUUUAAUCUUUGCCGAAUAAGCUGUAUCUUCUCACUAGUAUUUUGAACCAAUUCGGGACCAAAAAGUUUCCGCUCUCCAACCUCAUCCCAACAUACGGGAGUUCUGCAUUUCCUUCCAUACAAUGCCUCAUAAGGUGCCAUCUCGAUGCUAGCUUGAUAACUGUUAUUAUAAGCAAACUCCAUCAAGGGUAAAUAAAUGUCCCAACUACUCUUAAACUCCAAAAUGCAAGCUCGUAACAUAUCCUCCAGGGUUUGAAUAGUACGCUCUGACUGACCAUCAGUCUGUGGGUGAAAAGCUGUACUGAAGUUCAGCUUGGUGCCUAAAGCCUUCGGCAAGCUUGUCCAGAACUUAGAAGUAAAUCGGGAAUCUCUAUCUGAAACAAUAGACACAGGUGCUCCGUGAAGUUGAACUAUCUCAGCCACAAAAAUAUUCCCCAACUUGUCCAUCGAAUAAGUGGUCUUGAAUGGUAAAAAGUGAGUAGAUUUGGUAAGUCGAUCAACAACUACCCAUACACUAUCAUGACCACUCUGAGUACGUGGAAGUCCCGUUACAAAAUCCAUGGUGAUGUGCUCCCAUUUCCACUCGGGGAUAGGAAGCGGCUGAGAAAACCCUGCAGGUCUCUGAUGUUCAGCCUUAAUCUGCUGACAAACUAAACACCGAGAUACAAAUUCGGCUAUCUCUCUCUUCAUACCUUGCCACCAGUAAUGAUCUCUCAAGGUACGGUACAUCUUCGUACUACCCGGAUGCAUAGCAUAAGCUGAACAAUGAGCUUCUUCCAUGAUCUCCUUUUUCAACUCCUUAAUGUCGGGUACGCAAAGUCGAUUACCCAUAACUAAAACUCCAUCAUCUCUCACCGCAAAAUCAGUUCGUAAGCCUUUUUGCACAUCCUCUUUCAACUUCAGUAAUUGCAAAUCCUAAUCUUGCAUCUGAUGAACUUUGUCGAUCAAAGUCGGCCUCACUCGAAAAUUAGCUAUUAAAGCUCUGCAAAUAUCAACUUCCGAUUCAACUCCCAAAGAUCUCAGCUCAAUCAAUAACGGCAUAUACGUCCCUCGCAAGUGAGCUAUAGAGCUAGAAGACUUCCUGCUUAGUGCAUCAACUACCACAUUCGCUUUGCCCGGAUGAAAAUCAAUGGUACAAUCAUAGUCUUUAAUCAGCUCAAUCCAUCUCCUCUGUCUCAAAUUCAACUCUUUUUGAGUAAACAAAUACUUCAAGCUCUUAUGAUCAGUAAAAAUCUAACAUGUUGCUCCAUACAAGUAAUGCCUCCAUAUCUUGAGUGCAAACACCACUGCUGCUAGCUCUAAAUCAUGAGUUGGGUAGUUUUGUUCAUGCUUCUUAAGUUGUCUAGAAGCAUAAGCCACUACCUUCCCAUGCUGCAUUAGCACACAACCCAAUCCUUGCCUGGAUGCAUCACUGUAUACUACAAACCCUUCAUUACCCGAUGGAAGUGUAAGAACUGGCGCUGAAGUAAGACAUGCCUUGAGUUCUUGAAAACUCUUUUCACAAUCAUCAUUCCACUGGAACUUAGCAUUCUUUCUGGUUAACCUUGUCAGAGGAAUAGCAAUCUUGGAGAAUCCUUCCACAAAUCUCCGAUAAUAGCCAGCUAAUCCAAGGAAACUUCGAACUUCAGUCACAUUUGUAGGCCGUUCCCAAUUUACAACUGCUUCGAUCUUUUGAGGAUCAACAUAAAUUCCUUCAGCUGAUAUCACAUGGCCUAGAAAUACUACUUUAUCCAACCAGAACUCACACUUGCUGAACUUAGCGUACAAUUGCUUUUGUCUUAAAGUCUGCAAAACAGUCCGCAAGUGCUCCUCAUGAUCUUCCUGACUCCGAGAAUACACUAAAAUAUCGUCAAUAAACACAAUCACAAAUCGAUCCAGAUAAGGGUGGAAUACCCUAUUCAUAAGAUCCAUAAAAGCUGCUGGGGCAUUAGUCAACCCAAAUGGCAUCACCAAAAACUCAUAAUGUCCGUAACGAGUUCUGAAUGCUGUUUUAGGAACAUCAGCCUCUUUAAUUCUAAGCUGAUGAUAUCCCGAGCGCAAAUCGAUCUUAGAAAACACCUUUGCUCCCUGAAGUUGAUCAAACAAGUCAUCGAUGCGCGGAAGUGGAUAUUUAUUACGCACUGUAACUUUAUUCAACUGCCUAUAGUCAAUGCAGAGUCUAAGAGUACCAUCCUUUUUCUUAACAAACAACACCGGAGCUCCCCACGGAGAUACACUAGGUCUAAUAAACUCUUUAUCCACCAAUUCUUGCAGUUGAAUCUUAAGUUCCUUUAAUUCAGCUGGAGCCAUCCUAUAUGGUGCUAUAGAUAUAGGAGCCGUCCCAGGGACUAAAUCAAUAGAGAACUCAAUCUCUCUAUGAGGUGGCAUCCCUGGAAGUUCAUCUGGAAAUACAUCUGAAAACUCUUGGACUACUGGAAUAUCCUCCAAUCUCAACUCCCGAACUCCAGUGACUAUUACGUAUGCCAGAUAAGCCGAGCAACCUUUUCUUAGUAAGCGUCUUGCAUCAAUGACUGAUAUGACACAUGAGGGUAAAACUCUACGCUCACCAUAAAAUUUCACCUCAAUUUCUCCUGGCUUGUUGAACACAACUUCUUUUUUAAAACAAUCCACUGUAGCAUGGUGAGACGCAAGCCAAUCCGUGCCCAAAAUAGCAUCGAAAUCUCGAAUAUCUAGAAUAAUCAAAUUCGCCUUAAAUUCAUGCUCGCCCAAUCGAAUCAUGCUAUCUCGAUACACCUUUUCAGCAAGUAAUGACCCUCCAGUAGGUGUACUAACAACUAAACCAUAAUCCAGCAAUUCAGGCUCUCUCUCUAGAUGCAUACUAAAUGUGCGAGAAACAAAAGAAUGUGUGGAUCCAGGAUCAAUAAGAAUAUGAGCAUCAUGGCCAAAGAUAGAUAAUGUACCCAUAAUAACUUCUGGUGUAGCAUGAGCCUCCUGCUGUGUCAAGGCAAAAACUCGAGCCUGAGUACGAGGUCGACCAGGUUGACCUCUCUGACUUGGAAAAGUGGCCUGACUCCUCGAUGUAGAACCCCCUGUCUGCAUACCCCUCUGACCCUGAAUUGGUCCAACAUGAGAUUGAUACUGUGGGGCUGCCCCUCGAGCAGAACUGUCACGCUGAGAUAAAGUAGGGCAGAAUCUCUUAAUAUGUCCAGGUUGUCCACAUAAAUAAAACACAUUGUCUCCGAUACGGCAUUGGCCCUGAUGGUUCCUACCACACGUAAGGCAAGGUGUCUGCUGUAUACUCCUACAGGGUCCUCCGCUAUUCCUAUCAUACUGCCCCUGAGUCCUAACGUUACUCCCCACUGAAGGCUGCGCCGAACUGUAACUGGCGGAUUGUCUCUGAUCUCCCCUGCUACUCAUACUCUGAUUCCUUUACACACCAGCAGAGUAAUUUGUAUACGCGCCUUUCUUCGGCGGCCUGCUGCUCGAGCCACCCUCUGUCCAACUCUGGCUACAUUUCUGCUUCAGAUCCUGAACUCCAAGAUCCAAAAAUUUCUUCUCAUACUCUUCCACUGACAUAGCUCCUUGAACCAAUCGAAGGAAUUCACUCCGUUUAAUAUCCUGAUACACAGCCGGAAAAUAAUGAUCGUAGAAUUCCUUGCGAAAAAAUAGCCCAUGUAAGCGCAGCAUGCCCUUGGUAUCUUCGCUCUACUGUUUGCCACCAAUGAUAAGCCCUAUCCUCGAGCAGAAAAGUGGCAAAUGAAAGUCUAUCCUCCUCUGAGCAUCUCAUCACAUCAAAAAUACGUUCUAACUUGAUAAGCCACGACUCUGCCUCAGGUGGAUCACCAGAACCAUUAAAACUCUUUGCCCCUAAACUUCGAACACGCUCCACAGUGUUCACUUGACCGACAUGCGGCUGAGCCUGAUUCUGAACCACUGUAGUCACAAUCUGACCUAAUCUAUCAAUGGACUGCUCAAUGUUCGGAGCAUCUCCUGGUGCCUGUUGCACAACCUCGUGCGUCGAAGACUCAACUAUUCCCUCGUCAACGGGAUCAUUUUCCCCAGCAGGUACAUCUCCUGGAGUCAACCCAACUACUAGUCUAGUACGGCCACGUCCGCGGCCACGUCUACUGCUACGACGAAUCAUGAUGGUGCCUACAAAAUAUUAAAUCCAACUUUAAUAAUCAAAACUUAUUCUAUUUACGACAGUAAAGUCUAUAGAAUCUAAAACCAUGCUCUGAUACCAACUGAAACGACCCGCCCCGCAACUCCCCAGGGCGAGUCUAUCGAAACUCAUAAAAUCGAAACUAUUCUAUAAAAAUUUCGGCAGAGUCUCCCUUAUAAAUAAAACAUAUCCAAUCCUGCAAAUUAUAAAGCAACACUCCCAAAAUUAUUUAAUAUCCAACCAUCCUCCAUAACCAACUUCUCAAAUCAACAUAUCCAUAUCAUCCUAAUAUUAAAUUACAUCGAUUACAUAAAAUAAUAAAAUAACACAACUUGCAAAAAUCCCAAAUAUAAUACUAAUUAAAAUCCACGACUCCUAGCACCAUCACGUGGCCACAAUAUCACACUAACGUUCGCUACUGGGUUGACUGAUGUACCUGUAACUCUCCUGUGGGGGGAAAAAUAUAAAAUAAUAAAAGAGGGGUGAGUAUAAAACUCAGUGAGCUCAGUGAGUGGAUAGUAGUUACUGACAAUUUAAUAAAUUUAUUUAAAAUGAUUUAAUCUUUCUCAAAUCAAUUUCUCAAAUCGUUUCUCAAAUCAAUUUCAAUUUCUCAAAAUAUCAUAAGAACUUGCUCAAACUCAUUUAAUGCAAAUCAGUUCAUUGAAACACUAUAAUACAUAUAUUCGCAUAAAAUCGAUGGAAUCAUAUAAUACUCAUCAUAUCAAAUACUGAAGACUAAAAACUGUCAUCAAACAAGUACCCAAGGGAUAAUCUGAUCAUAUCCGGACCUCGACGGACGGGCAAUGACGUACUAUCUGGGUAGCGUCACGCCCCGGAGCUACAACGGAUAGAUGGGGACGAUCUCAUCUCAUAUCUCAUAUAUCUGUACUGUGCAUGCAUAAGCCCCCAAAAGGCAAAAGCGCCCGAACACACGGCCCAAAGCCUCUAUGUGUGUCCCGACGGGCCCCAAAGGCCUCUAUCUCAUCUUAUCUGUAUCUCUUUUCUGUAUCUCUUUUCUGUAUCUCUUUUCUCAUCUCAUAUUAUCUGUUUCUCUGUAUCUGGAGGGAAGGGUACUGUCUAAUGAUUUCAAAAAUAACAUAUACAUAAACAUAGAAUCUCAUCCGAAAUCUCAUUUUCUUUCUAUUCAACAUAUCUCAAAAUCUGCUCAAUUCUAAUAUCAUGCCUUUACUAAAAAAAAACGCUAAUAAAAUCAUUAAUCAAACUCAUUCUCAAUAACAAUAAAGACCGACACAUAGAUAAAAAUUAAUUUACCGGAAAAUCAUUUAAUCGAAGCAUUAAAUACUUAUCAUAAAAUCAGCAUAUACUAUGAAAAUAGGUUUGUAUAUUCCACUCACAGUGAUGAUGUCUAGACUCGGUAUCAACAACGUCCGCGGGUUGAUUCUCGUUCGCGGAUGCGGAUCCUCCUAAUCACGGAAACACUAUAAUUAUUCUCCGUAAAUAGAAAUACAACCAAUUUAAUAUAAUAAAUCUCGAAUCAAAUCUCUAUUAACGGUAAACUAUUCCCGCAUGAGUAAAAUUACCAAAAUGCCCCUACAUGCCAAAAUUACCAAAAUACCCCCAACAUCAAUAUUUUACCAACUUAUCCUCAAACUUCAUUAUUUUACCAAAUUAUCCUCAUAUUCGUCAAUUACCAUAUUGUCCUCAAUUCAGAUUACAUAAAUUAAUCACAUUGUCCGAAAUUACGAAAUUACCCUCGG
rnacentral:lncRNA from 1 species